rnacentral:rRNA from 1 species
AUUGAACGCUGGCGGCAGGCUUAACACAUGCAAGUCGAGCGGGGUGAUGGUGCUUGCACUAUCACUUAGCGGCGGACGGGUGAGUAAUGCUUAGGAAUCUGCCUAUUAGUGGGGGACAACAUCUCGAAAGGGAUGCUAAUACCGCAUACGUCCUACGGGAGAAAGCAGGGGACCACUUGUGACCUUGCGCUAAUAGAUGAGCCUAAGUCGGAUUAGCUAGUUGGUGGGGUAAAGGCCUACCACGGCGACGAUCUGUAGCGGGUCUGAGAGGAUGAUCCGACACACUGGGACUGCGACACGGCCCAGAAUCCUACGGGAGGCAGCAGUGGGGAAUAUUGGACAGUGGGGGGAACCCUGACCCAGCCAUGCCGCGUGUGUGAAGAAGGCCUUAUGGUUGUAAAGCACUUUAAGCGAGGAGGAGGCUCUUUUGGUUAAUACCCAAGAUGAGUGGACGUUACUCGCAGAAUAAGCACCGGCUAACUCUGUGCCAGCCGCCGCGGUAA